AAGGAAUAUUGGACAAUGGACGGAAGUCUGAUCCAGCCAUCCCGCGUGGAGGAAUAAGGCCCUAUGGGUUGUAAACUCCUUUAGCAGGGGAAUAAAAAGGUCAUUUAUGAUCAAUUGAAGGUACCCUGAGAAUAAGCACCGGCUAACUCCGUGCCAGCAGCCGCGGUAAUACGGAGGGUGCAAGCGUUAUCCGGAUUUACUGGGUUUAAAGGGUGCGUAGGCGGACUAUUAAGUCAAAUGUGAAAGCUUGCAGCUUAACUGUAAGAUUGCGUUUGAUACUGGUAGUCUCGAAUAUGGUAGAAGUUGGCGGAAUAAAUCAUGUAGCGGUGAAAUGCUUAGAUAUGAUGUAGAACACCGAUUGCGAAGGCAGCUAGCUAUGUCAUAAUUGACGCUGAGGCACGAAAGCGUGGGGAUCAAAC
rnacentral:rRNA from 1 species